rnacentral:misc_RNA from 1 species
GUAGGUGAACCUGCGGAAGGAUCAUUAACACGUGACCCAACGUAUCUAUCCAGUGCACCCGACCGAAUUUACGAGAGUUGAAAACUUACGAGAGGCUUUUUGAAUCUUUCGGGAUUCAAGAACCGUUAGAAUGUGCUAGUGUUGCACGCUAUUUGCCAAGAGAGUUUGUUGGAAUCCUUGUUGGCAGGACGUGUUCUCUCUGGCAAGCGGCCGCAUCAAAAAGCAGUCUGAUGGCAGUUCCUUUUGUGAG